CGUUCCCUCCUGUGGGUCCCAGCGGGGUCCCCUUGACCUGCUUCCACGGGACGUCGCCGCUUCUCGCCGCGCUUUUUGCCUUGUGCUUAUUGUUGCUGCACGUCGUUCUGGCCUGCCUCGCAGGUCAUCUUGCUUCUUUCUACGCUCCGGCCGGAAGAGUCCGGAUCUGGCUGCCACCGCCAACGCAAGGAUUGGAAACCGCCGCACACCAACCUGAUCUCGCAAACAAAUUGGAGGCACUGGACGGAGAAGAAAGGGAGUGCCUCGCCGCCACCAUCCUUGCUGCCGCACGGGCCUCCGAUGGCUGGCUCUGGUGGCGGCAAGGAAGGGGAGACGGUGGGAGGAUCUUGGGCAGCGGCGGCUAGGGUUCCUCCCAUGCCGCCUGAGAGGGGCGACACGGGGGAAGGUGAAUCGGUUUUUCCUCUGAAGUUUUGAUAGUAUUUUAUUAUUUGUCAAAAAAUGAUAGAUCGCAUGAAUAUAGUUCACAAACCAACUUCGUUUCAUUAUACACCUGAAUGGUUGAAUGAAUA